AAGGGCUUUCAGAGCCUGCACAAAUCUUCUCUAGCUGAACAGAGGAAGAAAUGAGGAACAGAGGCCUUCAAUUUUUCAUCUUGACAAUGUUUCUUUAGAGAAAUGAUACAGUAUAAACACACCUUCUGAAGGAAUUAAGAGAGACAAAUAUUGAGAAGUACCACAGAAUUCCUACAUUCUUGCAUGGACAGAGCACAUCCUGCAAAUAGAAGGGGAGGACAGUUUCCUACCCUUGGAUUUUCCAAGUAUCCCUGCUCUGAGAAGCAAAGGAGCCAACGGCAGGAGCAUUGGAGUUGGUAUGCCUGUCAUGCGCCUGCGGACGCUUCCAGGACUGCCUGCAUGCUUUCAAGAAGAAGGUCGUUGUUCUUUUAGGAUCAUCAAACAAUCAUGAGUGAAUCAUGAAUCAAGAUGGAAAACAUGAGGGGAAUGUUCUCCUGAAAGAUAAGAAAACACAUAACUUCUGCAGUGCAAGUCAAAUGACUCAUCCCGAGAAGGAGCAUCAUUUUUCUAAUGCUGGAAUGGCAGCCUGCAGAUUUCCAUGUGGCAGUCCUGGUUCUCACUGAACGUUGAUUAACUCAGGACAGCAUGAAAUGCUUUUGUUUUAUGUCUAAGAUCAGGCCAAAUAUUUCUUGUCAUCUACUUAAAUAAAAAGAUCUCUUU